UUCAGUACCAAUUCUAAGCUUAAAUAACUCUAUUUUCAUAUUAUAAAGUUGUUGGAAUUGGUUAUUUGACCUUAAAGCCACUUGUGUGGAUUUUCACAUCUCAAAACCCCAUUUUAAGUUCAAUUUUCUGGUGCAAAUUGGCUACUGUCAAAUCUGUUUUUAACUCCAAAAGUGCAAGAAAAAAAAAUCAGUUUGGAUUGUAGUAAAAGCCAGAAUCUGUAAGAGACAAGGUGUAACAAGUUGAAAUGAAUAUAAG
rnacentral:lncRNA from 1 species